rnacentral:piRNA from 1 species
UGGACGUGGAUCCUGAAAACCAGAACUUU